rnacentral:rRNA from 1 species
UACGGGGGGGGGCAAGCGUUGUUCGGAAUUACUGGGCGUAAAGGGGUUGUAGGCGGCCAACUAAGUCCGACGUGAAAUCCCAAGGCUUAACCUUGGAACUGCGUCGGUAUACGUGAUGGCUUGAAUUCGGGAGAGGGAUGCAGAAUUCCAGGUGUAGCGGUGAAAUGCGUAGAUAUCGGUAAGGAAGACCAGUGGCGAAGGCGGGUCUCUGGGACAGUUCCUGACGCUGAGGCACGGAAGGUCAGGGGAGCAAACGGGG